CCUAAACUCUCCUCUCUUCAUUCCCGGAUUUCCCCUCUUCCUCGAAUCUCGCGUUGAACUCUCCUGAUCGCCCGUCACAACCGGCUCUUCUCCAUCCACAAGCGAGGUUGUCGAUCUUCCUGUACAUCGUCGCCCCUACAGCUAUGUCAAGCCCGGUCGAUCGAUCGACAUCGCCGCGAGUUUCCCCCAGCAAAGGAUGCCUCCCCUCUUGCCCUUAGAGUUGGCUGCGCCCACUUCUCCUACAGUUUCUGUUCCAGAUGGAGGAAUAGGGUUGGCUGCGGAGGAUCAUAUUUAGCCGGAGUACUAACCUACUACACUCCCUCACACUCAGCCAUCGUCGGACUCCGCAUAGCACUGUUGUCCUUUUUCCUCGCGGCCACGGUUGGCCGGUUGGUUCGCCGAUAGCCCAAAGGCCGGAACCUACAGCUGACUCUCUCCAGUGGUUGCCACUUCCUUCACCCAUGACUGGAUGCUACCAUGAGCCAUUGCCGGAAUAGCCAAGUGCCACCAGAUUUAGGUUAGCAAGUAGAGGGUGUGUCAUGUCGCUCAGAGGUCCUGAAUGUUAAUCCCACAUCACAUUCGAGAUUAUGUUUUCUAUGUUAUGUUUUGCUGUUUUGUAUUUACAUUUGGUUUGGUUCUGGUUCAUGGAUUUUAGUCUUGUGGUUUAUCUGUAUUUGGUUGUGAUAUUCGUUGUGUUAAGCCGUGUAGACACGCAGUCCAUUUAUGUUUUCUAUGUUAUGUGGGAUUGUGUAAAUCCUUCUAUUGCAUAGUUAGUUAUCUUUAUCUUCUGCUGUAUUUCUAGCUUUGUGGGCUAUAUCAUGUUGUAUCGUAUAUUGUCACUAGAGGGUAUCAUCCAUUCUAUUAGACAAAUAUACCUCCGGGUGUGACAAUUUUAUUGGUAUCAGAGUCAUAGGUUGUGAAGCCUAUUUUUAUGUUUUAGAUUUCUUGAUUUGCUUUCUCGAUGUGACUUUUGAGUUUUGAGACUCAGCAGGGAUAGAACAUCUCCGAGCUAUAGGAAGUAAGGUAUAUCUCUAGUAUUGUGAUAUCUUUUGGAUUCACUACUUUGUUUAUUUUAUGGAAGCGACCUGUUAACCCUGCGGGACCCGACCCUAAUAUAGAGAAUGCAGAUUCUUCUAAGUACUAACUGAUACCAAGUCAGAAAGCAAGGACCUACACAGUCAACCAUUAUUGGAGGUCACAUCUUACAGUCUCAUGGAAAUACCACCAACCGUACCAACUCCUAUUACUAGUAGUUGGUUAAAGGAUAGAGCCCGUAUAUUUUUGUUGGCUUAGUUAGUAAAGGAUCGAUUUACUUUGUUUCAUAGAAAUUCCGAUCCUUGGGUUGCUUAAACCUGGUUAGAUAACCUGCCGGGUACAUUUGAGUACAAGACUUGCACGGAUAUAGAGUUUGCUAAAUUAGCUGCAUAUCAUCUACGGGAUCAGACGAGCAUCACUUGUUGAUGAUUUCAAGAUGCGUUAGAGGGAUAAUACUUCUCUACCUCCUGUUCUAUAACUCAUUGUUAGAGGUUCCUGAUAUAGGUCCUGGUGAGGCCGGCUAGAGGGGGGUGAAUAGCUUGAAAUGAAAAUAAUCCCUUUCUCGUUCUUUCAACUUAGAUUAGUAACAUAAUUAUAAUAAAUUAAUUUAAAAAAUAAUAAAAUAAAAGAGAUAGAAGAAUUACUUGGUUACAACCUAGGUGGUUGUUAAUCCAAGGCAGAUGAAAGUAUUAAAAAAUCUCCUUCAUUGAAAGUGGAGAAGCCUCUUACACUCUUUGAACGCUUAAAAAUAAACUAAGAAUUAAUUACAGAAGUUGUUGAUUAAUUCCUACCUCCAGGAGUCUUUUUAUAGCUCUUGGAAAAUCCUAUCUGUGGGUAGAAGGUGCCUUCAAGAGGACUCAAGGCGCCUUCGAGUGAAAAACUUUAUCCGCCGAAGAUAAGGUUUUAUCUUCGGCUAACGGUUAGGGAAGGCGCCUUCAGCACUGUUCAUGGAAGACGCUUUUUAAGCCAUUGAAGGCGCCUUCCCUACAGCAGAUCAACUCCUUAGUUGAUCUUCAUCCUCAAGCAAUCUUCCUCUCCGGUUUCUCAUCCCUUGGAAACGUCGCACACUUCCUUCUCGUCCGCCAGCGUACUCUUCCACAGCACCUCCGAGCCAGUUGACUCUUUCCCGUGCCAUCCUUCUCGCUAGCUGCGUUUUUCGCGCAAAUUCUCGUGCUCCUAAGUUCCUGCACACUUAGACACAAGAAUCAAAUACAACAUGACUUAACUUGACUUGGUUGAUUACACCAAAAUUAUCAUAGGGUACUUAUACUUGAACCUUAAAUAGAGCAACUAUAGUGUAAUGGUUUGUAAAGCGAUAGUUAGUUGACUUGUGUAUGGUUUGCAACAGCUUUGUGGUUGCUGUUGUUGUCAUGUUCCUUUUGCUGCCUGCGUUUGCUUUUCUUGUUUUGAUUGAGAUCGGCGUUUGCAAUAACAGGGGAGGAGAAUGAGAAAUAGGGGAAUAAUAUGGUGAUGAUUAAUGAACUGAGAUGAUGUGUUCGUUUGGUGUUGGAAGAGUUUGUAUGGUAUUGGUUUCUAUACUAGUAGAGGUAGUGGUGACCAGUGGGAGAAAUAUAUGGAUAGACACUUUAUGUAAGAAAGUUGACCCAUGUUUAAUUUUAUCAAUAGUGGUCGAUUUAAUGAUUCAGAGUGGAGAACAGAAAGAAAUAUAAUGAUAUUGAGCUUCGAUAAUUUUUUAAAAUGAUAUAUGUCGACUAUUUUACCUAAUAUGGUACAAGAUCUAAAACCUACUCGGCACUGACACCAUGCAUUGAAACAUCAGUAUAAUACCGAAUCAUUAUGGUUCUAGUCAAAUAUCGAAACUUUGGCACAACUCGAGAUUUUUAACCUUGAAGUGACAAAACAUGAUUCUAUAAUAUAUCAUUAAUCAUGGUAUAUCCAUUUGUGCAAUACCAAUGCUUGAAAUAUUAUGAAAAAGAUUAAAAAGUAAUUCAAUUUUAUAGAUGUAAUCAAGUUCCAAGCAAGAACUUAGAUAUUAAAAUUUUUAAUUUGCUUUUCUCUCAAUAUACUUCAUGAAGAAACUAGUAUUGCAAGAAGAAAUUUUGAUAGGUAUUAGGUUCUAAUUAAACUAACAAACCACGCUUCUAGAUUCUACUAACAAUAGAAUUAAUCCGAGAACAAAUAAGUUCCAACAUCAAUAGUAAUUGUUUGUUUGCACUCUUGAGUGGCUAUGCGGUAAUUAUGCUUUCUCUUCAACACUUCCAAGUCAUGUUUUAAUUAAAGUAAAGCAAUCAAUUUUUUGUAUCUGUUCCAUAAUUAAAGCAAUUUAAAAACUCUAGAUGGCAAACCAACUUAGAGCGCAAUUUAGGAACUUACGUUCUGUUUAAUGUUUCCAAUUUUUAUUUGUUAAUUAUUAAUUGUUUAUUGCUGAUCUUGUGUUAUUUUGAAGAUAUGACACUAACAAACAAAUCAAAGGUAAUUGAUGUCAUAUGGGAACAUUGCAAGAAAGUUCUAAUGUAAUGAGCUUGGAGUCCAAGUCUAUGGAAUUUAAUAUUGGUCUGUGUUAUCAAAAUGAAAAAUUAUCAUGUCGGAACAAGAAAUAAAGUUGCAGCUUGUCAAAUUUCAGAUAUCAGAAGUUAGUUUUUGAAGAUUCUCCAUGAUGUAUAUAUAUAUUAUGAUGUUGUGAGGGAAUGAUUGAACGAACAAGAAAAGUCUUUAUCUCAAAUAUAUGCAGGGGUAUCUAUGGUUAUGCUUUACCAUUCAAUUUGAUAAAGAACAUGUUGUUUAUGGAAAUGUAGAAAUUAGUGGGAGAAUACAGUCAUGGUUUGGAGCUUCCUUUGUACGAAGCACAAGUUACUUUUUAGAGAAAUAGAAAGAUCUUGUUCUUUAAAAGAAGAAUACAGAAAGGCAUGAUAUGCUAUAAGUAUGACAGAUGAAUCCGUAAUAGAGGUUGUUCUUUUGCAUUUCUUUUUAUUGCAAAUAGUUCAAGUGUAAUUUUUUUUUCUUUUUUUGUGAUCUAUAGAUGCAUCAGAUGCAAUCAAAGAUGUAAAGUAGAUUUUUCAAUUACUUCAUGAAUUGAUUGAAAGAUUGGUGAAAAAAUCAUUGUUCA